rnacentral:rRNA from 1 species
CAAUAGCGUAUAUUAAAGUUGUUGCGGUUAAAAAGCUCGUAGUUGGAUUUCUGUGGAGGACGGCCGGUCCGCAUUUUGUGCGUGUAUCUGGUACGGCCUUUGCAUCCUCUUGUGGAACGCCACGGUGCUUCGUUGCAUUGUGCGGAAUGCAAGACUUUUACUUUGAGGAAAUUAGAGUGUUCACGGCAGGCAUGCGCCUUGAAUAUAUUAGCAUGGAAUAAUAAUAUAGGCUCCUCGCCCUAUUUUGUUGGUUUCUAGAGCGAAGAGAAUGGUUAAUAGGGAUAAUUGGGGGCACUCGUACUACGGUGUCAGAGGUGGAAUUCUUAGAUUACCGUAUGACGAACUACUGCGAAAGCAUUUGCCAAGGAUGUUUUCAUUGAUCAAGAACGAAAGUUUGGGAUCGAAGACGAUU